CGGCGGACGGGUGAGUACGCGUGGGAACGUGCCCUUCUCUGCGGGAUAGCCACUGGAAACGGUGAGUAAUACCGCAUACGCCCUUUUGGGGAAAGAUUUAUCGGAGAAGGAUCGGCCCGCGUCUGAUUAGGUAGUUGGUGGGGUAAUGGCCUACCAAUCCUACCAUCUGUAGCUGGUUUUACAGGAUGAUCAGCCACACUGAGACUGAGACACGGCCCGGACUCCUACGGGAGGCAGCAGUGGGGAAUCUUAAACAAUGGGCGCAAGCCUGAUCUAGCCCUGCCGCGUGAGUGAUGAAGGUCUUAGGAUCGUAAAGCUCUUUCCCCGGGGAUGAUAAUGACAGUACCUGGUAAAGAAACCCCGGCUAACUCCGUGCCAUCAACCGCGGUAAUACCGAGGGGGUUAGCGUUGCUCGGAAUUACUGGGCGUAAAACGCGCGUAGGCGGAUUGGAAAGUUGGGGGUGAAAUCCCGGGGCUCAACCCCCGAACUGCCUCCGAUACUCCCAGUCUUGAAUUCCAGAUAGGUGAGUGGAAUUCCCAGUGUAUAAGUGAAAUUCGUACACAUUCGGAUGAACACCAGUGGCGAAAGCGGCUCACUGGGUCGAUACUGACGCUGAUGUGCGAAAGUGUGGGGAGCAAACAGGAUUAGAUACCCUGGGAUACUCCACCCUAUACGAUAAAAGCCCAGUCGUCGGCAAGUAUGCUUGUCGGUGACACACCCUAACGCAUUAAGCAUUCCCCCCGGGGAGUACAGCCGCCAGAUUAUAACUCUAAGGAAUUGACGGGGGCCC
rnacentral:rRNA from 1 species